rnacentral:sRNA from 1 species
AUUACACCAGCUCUCUCAGUCCAGGGAGGAGGAGGAGCAGGAGGAACGCGAGGAGGAAGGAGAGGAGGAGCGGCCAGCAGUAGCCACGACCGCCACCACCAGGCAGAGGAAGAGUUCGUGGGGAGGAAAAGACCUCUCCUCCCCCUUGGAGCGCCUUCUCUCUGCUUUUGGAGAAAGGGAAUACACGAUAAAGAAGGAGACGGAGAGAAGAGAAAAAGUGAAGCGGGAGACAGAGGAAAAAGGGCGUGAACAGAAAGGGCCGGAGCGCGCAGGGGAGCCCAGGGCACGGGGGAGGCACUGCGGAGCCGGGAGCGCUGCCGCUUGGGCAGGUGCCGCGGCCGCUGCCCGGAGGCGGCAUGUGACGCGCGGCCGCAGCUGCCCGCGGGCAGAGCGCUCUCAGACCCCGGAGCGCACACCGCGGGGCCAUCGGUGCCAUCGCGGAUCUCCAGGCUCCUCGUCAGUCCGCCGGGGCGGCAGCAGCGCUUCUGGGAAGACGGGCGAUGAACCGAAGGGCGGCUCUGGGCAGAGGCGCGCGAUCCUAAGGACAGUCGCUCCCUGAACGCUGAGCCGGAGGAGACGAAGGGAAGGUGGAGCGGACGCCACCCGCGCACCGGGCAGGCGCGGAGACCGGCGUGGGACAGCCACCUGGAGCGCAGCUGCCAGAAAGAAGGACUUUGCUGCUUUGGGCAAGGCUCUGAACUUAGGUGUAAAGCAUUGCCCUGGAAGAGGGAACCUACCCAGUCCAUUGCUGCCUGCAACAAGAUAUGAACAGUAAUGGCACAUAUUUUGGUUAUGCGUCACUCAGUGGACUGUGGAUUGAAUGAACUGUAUCCAUCCCCAUCAUGAUGUACAGAACCAAGUCUCUUCACUACACUUGUGUUCUGAUUAGUCGCCGAAUAAAUGACAGUCAGAACUUCAGCUAAGGUACGAUAAGCUUUUGCUGUGGCGUGGCACCUGGUCUCUUUCUAGAAGGAAAGUUCAACAAACAGCACAGUUCUGGACGCAUUGUAUUGGUUUGAUGCUUCUACCUGGAACAGAUUCUCAUGAGCUAGUAGCUUUGCAGGGGAGUCAUAAAGAGGAACAGGCAUUGUAAGCAAGGCCGAAGAAGCAACUGGUAACUAACAGUACAUCUUUUUCUAAGGCCAACACUAAACAUAAGUUGCAGAGCUGGCCUGUGGUGGAACUCACAAGUCUUAUUGGCAAUAUAUGUGAGGAGACAAAAAGCAACAUAUGGAGAAAUACAAAAAUAUACUCCCUAGAGAUACUGCCUCUUCAGAUGUCAAGAAAAACCUGGAUGAAAUGAAGCAAGAGUGGCACGCUGCAAAGUUACAAAUUCAAGGCCACCCACAGAACCAAACAUUAACACUUAGGUGGAGCUGGUCUCUUGGGCAGCCUGACAUCUGGUCCACUCCACUGUCCUAUGCCGGGAUCAUCAUGACCGUAGAGAUUAUGUCACUGUUUUGCAUCCUUGUUACAUAACUCAGUUCCUGGUAGAUUCCAGUGAAAGGCACAUGGUGGUGAUAUUUUUGAGAAAGUAGAGAAGAAAAGAAUGAAUCCUGAUGGUUGUUGAGACAGAACCUGAGCCUCGAACUUCAUUUUCUCCCGUACCCAAACCUUGGUGAAACAACAGAGGAAAGUAUUGUUCUGUAAUUGUAGGCAGAACAAAAGCAAACCUUGAGUCAUGGGUGACCAACCAAGGAAGAGUCCCCUUGGGAGGAGGAGGUGCCAAAGACCAGUGAUACUGCUUUGGGUUAUGUGCACUGAGGGUUUCCAACCCUGAUGGAUAUGGAUUCUAAUUUAAAAUAUCACAGAGAAGAAAAAAAUAGACGUUCCCAUGGCAACAUUUUCUCAGGGCCAGCUCUUCUGUCUUAUUAUCAUAUCUUAUUUAAAUAUUUCCUGGAAUCAGUUUAAACUUAAUCCCUCUGUGUGUCUUCUAUUUUCAGUGGCCAUGGAGAGCGUAACAUCUGGUCAGAGGUUUUCCUUAAAUAAAUUGUAUAAUCGUAGGC